CAAGGUUAAAACUCAAAUGAAUUGACGGGGGCCCGCACAAGCGGUGGAGCAUGUGGUUUAAUUCGAUGCAACGCGAAGAACCUUACCUGGUCUUGACAUCCACAGAACUUUCCAGAGAUGGACUGGUGCCUUCGGGAACUGUGAGACAGGUGCUGCAUGGCUGUCGUCAGCUCGUGUUGUGAAAUGUUGGGUUAAGUCCCGCAACGAGCGCAACCCUUAUCCUUUGUUGCCAGCG
rnacentral:rRNA from 1 species